rnacentral:rRNA from 1 species
GCAGUCGCCGCGGUAAUACAGAGGGUGCGAGCGUUAAUCGGAUUUACUGGGCGUAAAGCGUGCGUAGGCGGCUUUUUAAGUCGGAUGUGAAAUCCCUGAGCUUAACUUAGGAAUUGCAUUCGAUACUGGGAAGCUAGAGUAUGGGAGAGGAUGGUAGAAUUCCAGGUGUAGCGGUGAAAUGCGUAGAGAUCUGGAGGAAUACCGAUGGCGAAGGCAGCCAUCUGGCCUAAUACUGACGCUGAGGUACGAAAGCAUGGGGAGCAAACAGGAUUAGAUACCCCAGUAGUCCCUGUCUCUUAUAA